CAAAUUAGUGAAAGUUAAGGGCAGGUACAGCAGGUACAUCCCUGCUGGGGAAAAACACAAUAGAAACAAUAGAAUGUGUAAUGGCUUUAAUGCAUAUAAUGGGAAUUGUAUUGGUUUUAAUUUAAACUGUCAUGGUCUCUGUGGGUCUUUACAGGAAUUUUUUUGCCUUCUAUUACUGUCAUAUUAUCUCUAGUGGAUACCAUUAAGAAUGUUGGAUACAUUUUUAUUUAAAUUUUUAAAACAUUUAUUUAAAUAUAUUUUAUCCAAGGGAAUGCUUAAAUGCAGAGUAAGACUGUAGUUAAUUAUGUGAUAAAUAAGUAAAGACCGAUAAUUUUGGCCAGCUGUGGAGAAAUCGUACAUGAGCCGUUUGGGUGACGAAAGAGUCGACUCUCAUUGAUCCGAGUCGACUCUCAUUGUUGAGCUGAGCCGAUUGCUCCGAGUCAUUAAAAUGUGAUAUAGCGGUAGUGGACUGUUUCUGGCGUAUUCUAUAUCGCUGCAGUGGACCAAUGAAAAACAAGCUUGUUAGCACACAGACUGUUGCCAUGGAAAUGAUUCGCCAAAACCACAACAAACCGUUGAUGGAGGUGACUUCAAGAAUGGAUUUAUGCUUGCUAGUUACGUUAGAAGUAGUUAGAAAAACAGCGACAACGCUAAAUUACAUUCAGCUCGAGCUAGUUGUAUUGUAAGAGUGUUAUUUAUGAAUAAAAGCAACGUGAAUAUGUUUUAAUAAUAAGGGAUAGUCACACUACGAACAGUAUAGUAGCUAGCAAGAGUUAACGUUAGCUAACCUGUAGCCUAUAUUAAGCCAGGAUUGAGAGAACUGCUAGCUGAUCAUAACAUAACCAUCUCUUUAACUAAAAACAACAACAAAACAAUUAAGCUCUCCUAAUAAAAUGUUUUAAAAGUGAGUGACUCAAGGACCUAAAAGCAUAAUUAUUUAGGUGAUCAGAUUAAUCAGACUGCCUGACAAAAUGGACAUACAGAGGACAGUGGGUUAAUGAACUUUGCUAGAAAAAUAGACCUUUUAAGGUAUUUAUAAAGACAUGGAAGCAUACGAGCAAAUUCUUGAACUCGGCAGAGGAGGAGCAGGUGUUGUCUUGCUGAUGAGACACAAGGAAACAAAGAAGCUCUAUGCUGUGAAGAAAAUAGAAGUCGACGAGUCUCGAAAAACAAAGUCAAGAGACAGCGUACUGCAAGAGGCUGAAAUUCUGAGGAAUCUGAGACACCCUCAUAUUGUGACAUGGAGCAACACUUUCUUUGAUCCAACAAAAGGGCACAUCUGCAUUGCUAUGGAUUACUGUGAUGGUGGGACGCUGGAUGACCAGAUUAAAGGCAGAAAGGCAGCAGAAUAUUUCUCAGAGACUACGGUUAUGAAAUGGUUUGUGCAGAUUGUCAUGGCGGUCAGUUAUAUUCAUUCUGUAAGAAUUCUGCACAGAGAUAUUAAGCCCUCCAAUGUACUACUAACAAAGAGGGGGAUGAUUAAGUUGGGAGAUUUUGGAAUAUCAAAGAUCAUGAACCACACACUGGACAUGGCCUCCACAUGUGUUGGGACACCCAGUUACCUCAGCCCUGAGCUGUGCCAGGAGGUUCCAUACAGCACCAAAUCUGACAUAUGGGCCCUUGGCUGCUUACUGUAUGAGCUCUGUGCACUAAAACCAGCUUUUCUUGCUAAGAAUCUACUGAGUUUGUUUUAUAAGAUCAUAAAGGGUGAAUACAGUCAGAUGCCUGCUGGCUACACAGAAAACCUGCACACACUGAUCGAGAAGAUGCUGUGCUUGCUUCCUGAGAAUAGACCAAGUGCUAGCUGCAUCCUGGCUAUGUCCUGUGUGCAGGAACAUCUGGAACUGUUUAUUCAGCAUCAGGAGACCGAAUUGACAAAGGUUAAUGCUGAUCCUGUUCCUGCUGAGAGUGAAGACGUCACAUUAACCUGCAAUGACACUGUUAGUUUUGAAGUGCCUGAUCUGCAUCAAGUUGAGAAUAUGGAAAAAAAUGCUCAAGCACCUGUUAUUACAGACGACGAGGUGACACAAGCUGGGACUGAGUCCGAAUAUUCAGAAGACUUUGAUGAAAAUGACAGCGUGUCGUCCAUUGAAGAUUAUUCAAAGAAGAAUUCAUCCUCCUCUAGUUUAGAGCAUGGAGGAGUUGCAGAAGAGCUGCAUGAUGUGGAUGCGACUGAGUACCCAGAUGACUUUGAGGAUGAGGAUGAAUUGGCUGAAGUGGUGAGCUGCGCUCGAAAUGCCAUGCAGACUCUUUCAGGAGGUGAUUCUCUUGUGCUGAAAGACAGCGAUGGUCCAUCGAUGACUGUGAGAACUCUGAGAGAGAAGUACAUUGAGGAUGUUGGUCCUUUAUUUUAUGAGGAGAUCAGUGAACAUUUUAUGAAAGGCCUGAAACCAGAGGACCUUCAGCCACAGUUCCAGCAUAUGGUUACGGUCUCUUGGGAUGAGAAAGGGCGAAGCAUCAUCCGAGAACUGGUUCAGGCUUGGUUCAUGGAGCCUUGAAAAACCUCCAUAAGACUUCUAGAACAUCCACUAUGCUUUGUUCAUCCUUCAUGUGAGCACAGCAGGGAGGAAGCAAAGGUAGCACAAACGCCGGCUGGUGUGAAACUGUUUCCACAAGCCAUCUCAGCACUAUCCAUCCUGGCCUAUGACACCUGCAAGCUGGUCAAUAUUUCAUCCAUAGUGGCGUUAAUGACUGUGAAAGCCUGUUACUUGUGUUUUGAAAGCAGUGUGCUAAAUGUGACGUGCCACUGACUGAUUGCUGCAUGAGUGCUCAAAACUUCCGUGACAAAUGUUUCCUCCAUCAGGUUUCAUCACUUACACUCAUUCAGACCUUCUCACUCUGGAGCUCAGACUCCAUAAGAACUCAGUGCUGAAACACUGUGCCUUUCACCAAUAGACAAUAUUGGCUGUACUUAUAACUGGCCACUGCACUUAUGGAUUGUUUCUGUCUGGUAUUAUUCUUAGGUAUGAAAUAUUGAUGGAGAUGGUCCAGAGUGAAAGCAGGUGGACUCUAAAACAUUUCUCUUUAGACAAGUGAGGUGGAAGACAGUGAUAUUAGCCUGCACUCUAAUCUGCCCUCACUGCCUGCCUGCGAUUAAAAAAAAGGCUCAAUGGACAUCAUCGUUUCUGCCCAAUACCAAGAGCAGACAGAGGGAAGCCAGAACACCAGGGCUUGCACAGGAGUCUGAAUCCAACAAGUCUCAUAACAGUUUACAACAGUGAACUUCAAGAAACAAGAGUGUUCAAGACAUGAAGUACUUGAGUGUUAAUAAUCCAGUUUGGCAACUCUCCAGGUAAAUGAUCUGUGUGACAUUAUGAACUCUGUGGCAUUUGUAAGUAACCUUUCUGAGUCACUUGAAAUGCACUGUGAAACUCUUUUUAGGGUGACCUGACAUUUGAAAGCUGUUAUGAAGCUCCGUGGAGGCAAGCAGUGUUUUCCUCAAGAGUGUGUCACCAAAACAAAAGCGCCUCACCAGUAGAGAGUAAAACUGCUGUCUCACGUCAACAUAUUAAUGAUGUUAAUUAAGAAUAUAAUUAAGACUCACUAACUGAUUCCUUGACAAAGUGGAAGAACGUCCUCUUCCUGGAUUAUAGCUCAAAUCCUGAAGCCUGAUGUAAACACUAAAACAAAAGUAUUAAAGCAAUAAAAGACUAAGAAUUCAUGAGUCAAACUUACUAUAAGUUUUAGCUCACAUUUCCUGACAAUUUGUUAUCCAUCUGGUUAAAAGGAUAAAGAACAUGACAGGGUGUGCUGUCAUGUCAGAAAAAUAAUCAACGACGGGGUGGUGUGAUGAGAAGCAAAUUUACAACAGUUACCACACAGGAGCAUGUCCUGAAGUGUUUUAUUCCUCUUAUGGUUAGCACAUUUCCCAUGCACCUCCGGGGUUUUCCCCAUCGGGGGUUUCCCCUGGGUACUCCUGUUUCCUCCCCUAGUCCAAAGACUAUCGUGUAGGCUGAUUGGCAUCUCUAAAUUGUCUGUAGUGUGUGAAUGUGUGUGUGAUUGUGCCCUGCAAUGGGUUGGCACCCCAUCCAAGGUGUCCCCCUGCCUCAUGCCCUGAGUUCCCUGGGAUAGGCUCCAGGCUCCCUGCAACCCUGUGUAGGAUAAGUGGUACAAAAAAUGGUUGGAUGUACUUUUUAAUAGUUCAAUUUAUUUGUAGUUCAAUUUAUUGUUGUGGAAUGUCGUUGAAACAAGUUAGUUCUUUUUAUCACUUACUAUAUUUUAUAGCAGCUAUAAACAGUCAUUCCCUAGCCAGCCUCUCUUUUCUUUGUCUUGAAGUUAACGAGACAAAAGCAUCUUUAAUCUCCUUACAGAAUGUUUUGCGAUAUGAAUGAUUAUAUGUUUUUCUUUGUUAAAUGACAACACAUUUAGACUAUGUUCAUCAUCCACCAGACAUGGCACUGUGAAUGAGUUGUUAAUAUAGAAAUGACAAUGUAUUAUAACAAACACAUUAACAUAAAUAUGUGAUUUAUAUUACAGCUAGGUGUUACUGUCAGAACUGCUGUUAUAGAAAAUGAAUCAACACUUCCUGGCUAAUCAGAAUGAAGAAUUCAACAGUGCUCUGGUCUAAACAAUGUUAACCACACCACGCAAAGUGAAUUCCAUUCAUGUAGAAAUAUUAGAAAUAGAAAUGCUCAAAAUUUCAACAAUCAAGCCCCCAGAAAGGAUUACUUCUUUUACUGUGGAUUGAAAAGAUAUCUUGAUUUUUUUCUAUUCACCCAGAACCUUUUAAUAUAGCAAAGGCAUAACUAGACAGUGAAAUAUUAUAGUUUUUAUUAUGCUAUCAUUUUAAUGAGCCCUUGUUCAUUCAGAGGCGAACUGAGACAUUUUGGUAAAUGGGAAGAGGGGGAAAUGUCCAGAAGGCGAAAGUAAUAAAAGUUCAUUAUGGCCUGUUGGGAAUUUUACUCUUCUCGAAAAACAAUGGAUGAUGAUGGCAGACAUCUUUCAUGUGCUGUGGAGCGAAAUGUUAAUAACCUUUUCAGAUUUACAACACAAGUGGGGCUUUUACUCUUAAUCAUGGCUGGAGGGAGAUGUCAGACAGGCACGGUUAACAAAUAACCUUUUACACCAUGGUGCAGGUCAGCAUCUCUCCUGCUUCCAUUCUGAUUUGCUCAACUGUUAACAAGCAUUACAGCUGCAGAAACUGUACUUAAAGUGCACUGUCAAUACAACUCUGCUGAAAAUCCGAAUUACAUGAUUGGCCGUGUGAAACACAUCUCGUGGUGCCUGUAUGCGUCUGUGUAUCUUUGUACAGGAGAGCAUUUGCUGUUGCGUGGAAUUUAUUUCAGCUGACACUAAAGGUGUGACUUUUCUGUUUCCUGUUUUAAGAACAGGAGGCCAGUGCUCUCAAAGAGAGAACCCAUACACAAAACACACACGGACGUCACGUGAAUAUUCACCACUCACAUUUGAAUUUUACAUGUUUACACAUGUAAAAUACAGUUGACACAUUUCACACAUUUCAUACAUUUUUCACGCAAUGAAUUUCAUGUAGUUUUUGCAUGUGUUUUUAUUUUUCACAUUAUUUUUUUUUCCCAUAUGAUUAUUUUCAUGUUUUUUUCCACAAUGUAUUUAUUUUUAAAAAAUUAACAUUGUUAUUUUUCUCACGAUUCAUUUAUUUUCACGAGAUUAAUUUUUUUUUCACAUCCUUUCAUCCAUUUUCCAAACUGCUUAUCCUACACAGAGUGACAGGGAGCCUGGAGCCUAUCACAGGGAACUCAGCGCACAGGCUGGGGGACAACCUAGAUGGGGGGCCAACCCAUCACGGGCAUAAUCACACACAUAUUCACACUAUAGACAAUUUGGAAAUGCCUAAAACGCAUGUGGACUGGGGGAGGAAAUUAGAGUACUUGGAGGAAACCCCGAAGCACAGGGAGAACAUGCAAGCUCCACAUACACAGGGUGGAGGCAGGAUUCGAACCCACAGCCUUGGAGGUGUGAGGCAAAUGUGCUUUUUCACAUGUAAUUUAUUAUUCAUUUAAUUCAUUCAUUCAUUUCUUUGAAUUAUUUCCUGAAAAAUCUCAUGUGAAUGUGAAUGAACCAUGAGUAAAGAAACGUGAAGUAUACAUGAAGUAUCAGGCAAUCAAUACACUAGAGACGUUAUGCUUCGAAGUGUGUGUCGAGAAUGCGGGUUGCUUUGAGUCUAUACACAUCCUCUAUGACAAUUUAAAGACGUGCUAUCAAUGUACAGUUGAAGCACAUUCAUCUUUUUUAGAUUUGAAUGUAGAGGCAUCAUUGAUUACAUCAAUGACCUAUAAAAGCAAUUAUAGGCAUUAUAGGCUCCUUCAGAAUACAGAAAGAUAUCUCUGUCCACAUAUAUUAUUUAAAACUCAUGUCUA